GAAGCAAGUUUGCCAGGUUCACCCAUGCUGGUCUGGAGUUUCCAGGGACUUUGGGAUUGAAAUAGAUAUGCCAGGGGAGGUUCUAAAACUGAAGAUGGCUACAAGCUAAAAUGCUACAAAGAGCAGAACAGCAGAGGAGCAGGCUUGCGUGGGAUAGAGGAGUGCUGUAGAUUCCCUGGCACUCACUGACCCUGAAGAAGAACAAAGAGCUGU